rnacentral:rRNA from 1 species
UGGCGGACGGGUGAGUAACGCGUGGGUAACCUGCCUCAUACAGGGGGAUAACAGUUAGAAAUGACUGCUAAUACCGCAUAAGACCACAGCACCGCAUGGUGCAGGGGUAAAAACUCCGGUGGUAUGAGAUGGACCCGCGUCUGAUUAGGUAGUUGGUGGGGUAACGGCCUACCAAGCCGACGAUCAGUAGCCGACCUGAGAGGGUAACCGGCCACAUUGGGACUGAGACACGGCCCAA